UUGUGCUUUGUAAUAAUCUGAUGAGCCAAUAUAAAAAAAAAGGAGAUGUGGUUUGACUGCCAAUGAGACAAGUAUCCACCAAAUUUCUGCUGAAGUGGUUGUAAGCAAUUAUAGGCAACUAUACAGCCCUCAACAAUGAGAAAAACCAAUAUAGUUGUCUAUAAAAGGCCAGACAUGAAAAAUAGGAAAUAAUAAUUCAAUUUGGAAAAUUAACAGCCUAAUAUAUAACAAAACAAUGUAUGAAAAACAAAUAUGAC
rnacentral:lncRNA from 1 species